rnacentral:misc_RNA from 1 species
CGAAGAGAUGGUUGUCAAUUUUGACGCCAACUCCCACCCUUUGUGUACCAAAUUUAUUCAUCUUUGGCAGAGCGUUUUUGGCUUUGCUGAAACCAUUGACAGUAGAAAUACUGUGAAUGAGUCUUUGCCAAAGGAUUUUCAUACUCUUUUUAUGAUUAUUAGUCUGAGUAAAAAUUUAAUAAAAUA